rnacentral:rRNA from 1 species
UACGGAGAGUGCAAACGUUGUUCGGAAUUAUUGGGCGUAAAGGGCGCGUAGGCGGCUCGGUAAGUCAGAUGUGAAAGCCCGGGGCUCAACCCUGGAAGUGCGUUUGAAACUGCUGAGCUUGAGUGCAGGAGGGAGAGGUGGAAUUCCAGGUGUAGGAGUGAAAUCCGUAGAUAUCUGGAGGAACACCGGUGGCGAAGGCGACCUCUUGGCCUGAUACUGACGCUGAGGCGCGAAGGCGUGGGGAGCAAACAGGAUUAGAUACCCUGGUAGUCCACGCGGUAAACGAUGCUCACUGGGUGCUGGUGGCAGACGCUGGCAGUGCCGUAGCUAACGCGAUAAGUGAGCCGCCUGGGGAGUACGGUCGCAAGAUUA